UCGUGAAGCACCUUUAUUUUUAAGAGUGUGGUUGCCCACUGAAGCUAAGCAGGGUUGAGCCUGGUCAGUACCUGGAUGGGAGAGCUCCUGGGAAAACUAGGUUGCUGCAGGAA
rnacentral:rRNA from 1 species